rnacentral:rRNA from 1 species
UACGUAGGGGGCUAGCGUUGUCCGGAAUCAUUGGGCGUAAAGCGCGUGUAGGCGGUCCGGUAAGUCCGCUGUGAAAGUCGGGGGCUCAACCCUCGGAUGCCGGUGGAUACUGUCGGGCUUGAGUACGGAAGAGGCGAGUGGAAUUCCUGGUGUAGCGGUGAAAUGCGCAGAUAUCAGGAGGAACACCAAUUGCGAAGGCAGCUCGCUGGGACGUUACUGACGCUGGAGACGCGAAAGCGUGGGAGCAAACA